UCUCUCAUUGAGGAAGUCAAGUUGGGGCAGGAACCCGAGGCAGGAACCAGAAAGCACAAAAUGAAGAAGAGGCCACGGAGGGCAUCCCCAAGUGUAUAAGACUGCAGCGAUCUGGAAAUGGGCACAGGCGUGCACUGACUCUGUUCUCGGCUCUUCGCUGGGGACGUGUGUAAUCUGACUACCUGCUCUGAGUUCCUGCCAUCUUGACUCCCCGGCUAGGAUGGACUGUGAUCUGGCAUGGAUGCUUUCCUACGGUGCACAAAAGCUAUGUGCCGGGGCACUGCAUAAAUAUUUGAUGCCGACCUUUUGGCAAAAGGCCACCGUACCAUUCCGAUCUUGUGAUUUGCAAGAAGGACAUGGGAAAAGAUCUGCCACACCAUCUCUAGAGGUAAAUCCUAUGUACAAUUCUCUUCUGUAGGCAUGUGGUGCAGUUCCAAGAUCAGACUUUGGUUUCGGGCUGUAAAGUAUCUGGGACAUGCACACCAGGACAGCUGGUCAAUUCAGCUAGUCUAAUCUUUGCAGGUUUAUAAACUAGAGUUAUUUGAUCUUUGAACAAUCUAAGGUAGGACUCAACUUUCCACAUUCAGAGGGCCCCUAUUUUCCACUCUAUGUUGAUUUCUGAUGAUUCCAGGCAUGGCCCCACUCUCUGUCUCAGUUAACUAUAGCUGCACCAGUGGUUAGGAUGUCAUGCGAUCUCCUUCGAAUAUAAACACUGUUGAAUCACCAUCAGAUCACCACUGCUGCCGUCUCUUACCUCCCCCACCCCAUCCUCUACCUUCCUGCAUUCUUAUCCAGAGGGCCAGUGAAGGUUCACUCCCCUCUGUCCACAGGGACUAGCCUGCAAGUUCAAUGCCUAACAGACCAGGUAAGGAUGUGUCUUAAUCACUGCCUCGUUGUGAUGAGAUACCCCAACCAAAGCACCGUCAAGGAGAGGGCUUGCUUGCCUUAAGGUUCAAGGUUACAGUCUAUCACGGGAGGAAGUCAUCACAGUAGGGCUUGAGGCAGAUGCUCACAUUGAUUGUGUCCUCAGUCAACGCUCAGCUCAUUUUCUCUCUGUUCUAGACAGUCUAGGAAGGAUCUCAACCCAGUGAAUGGUGCCAUUCCCAGUGGGUAGGUAUCCCCAUCUCAAUUAACUUGACAUGCACACAACAC